UUCGAUCCCGGGUCUCCAGGAUCGCGCCCUGGGAUAAAGACAAGUGCUAAACCGCUAAGCCACCCAGGCAUCCCUACUUGUUAAUUUAUAUAAAAUAAUUUGGGUUUAUGACAUUACAUGCUAAGGUAUAUCUAAGUGACUUCUAUGUUUUGUUUUAAAAACUCAUUGGAGAAGGGCACCUACGUGGCUCAGCUGGUUGAGCAUCUAACUCUUGAUUUUUGGCUCAGGUCAUGAUCCUCAGGGUCCUGAGACUGAGAUCUACAUCAGGCUCUGCACUCAUCAGAGAGUCUACUUGAGGAUUCUCCUCUCUCUGUCCCUCUCUCUCACACACACACAUAAAUUUAAAAAAACCUCACUAGAGAAAUUAAUCUCAUAGAGGUAUGUUGAUUGCAGUGUAAGACAGGAGAUUAAUUUCAGCAAGUUCAAGAUAAUCAUUUUUAACUUUGAUCCAAAAUGAAACAAGUGAUGCUGUAUUUUCAAAAUUCAUUUUUGGUCUAUCAACUUGUUCCAUGAUUUAUUUCAUAAUUAUAGUUCUAUAUCAACUUCCUUUUAUUGAAAUUACUUUUCAGAGCCAUGAUUUUCCUACAUAUGGCUAUUCUAAUAAUGAAAAAUAAAAUUUAAAGCAUUUUGGCCACAUUCAUAAGAUCUCUGUAGCUUUUCAGGUUGGUAACACUAAGAUCAUCACCUCCUUCAUUCACAGUCAUUAUUAAAUUAUGGAACUUGUCAAAAAUCUGUAAAACUGUGUUCUUCCAAGCUUUUUAUUUUUCCUUUACAAUCAUAUAUUCCCAGCGAAAAAAUGUUGCCAUGCUUCCUUCCAUGGAAGUAUAAGAAUCAUUAAAAUAUUGAAGAUAGCAACAAAUAAGCAAGACUGAUUAGCCAGUUUACACUUAAAAAAUUAGAACCAAAUUAACUUUAUUUUGUAGAAAUAUAAGACAAGGAUUUGUCUUACAGUUCAGACAUUCCUGACACAGCUUUUCUGCUCCAUGAAGAUCCUAAUUCAGCAUGUAGUACCAUUUAGGAUUCAACUUCCAUAUUAUUGCAUUAUAAAAAGUAUAAUCUUCAAUUUACCACAUUAGUUUUUCCUGCAUCACUAAGCAUAUAUUUUAGUUAAGCUGACAUAUUUCAUAGCAAGACUUUUCUCUAUGAAGGGAGUUGUGAACGAUUACAAUCAGUUGCAAGUUCUCCAUCCAGGUAACUUAUGAAAUGCUUUCCUCUCAUUUCAGGGGUGCCAUCAGAACAUGUUCCUACUUAAAACUUAGAUACCAAACACAGGCUGAUGAUGUUAGUUUUCUUCAGUUCAGAGCUAGUUGCUUAUUAGCAGUAAAGCUGGGGGAUAUCUCCCAGAUAUCCUGUCUUUUUACUGUCAUGUUCAAAUUAAUUAUUUUUAGCAAUAUCUGUGUAGUUGCCACAUUGCAGUGAAAAGAACCAUUAUAUAUUUUAAGAGUUGGUCUUAAAUCUUAAUAGCCAGUUUCUGAACACAUGAUUAGAAAGUGGUUCUUGAGCUCCAUUUUUCCUGUGUUUCACCUAACGCUUCUAAGCAAACAUUUCCAAUGCAAUCUUUUGCUAAUCUUUUAGUGAUUAUAAAUGGAUUUUUAGUUUAGCAACCGAAGGAGCUUUGUGAAACCCCCCAAAGCUUUAAUAUUUAUAGUGUAACACCCAACAUCUGCUUCUGUCAUUCUUUUAAAUCAAAACUCUCUUAAGAGUUAUUUUUUUGUUUUGAAUUUGUUUGGUAAGUAAAGGCCACUUAAGUAUCAGUUUCAUUCAUGACUCACUAUUACUUUUCCAUAAACCACACUAUGGUUUUAGCACUUUGUCAGACAAAUUUACUUCCCUACAAUAGCUACCAAAUAUGUUUGUAUUUAUAUUAAAAUCUUAAAAGUCAAAUGAUUAUAAAAACAAAUUAUAAAUGAAAAAUGUGUACAGAUUAUAGGAUGUUGGACUAGAGAUGGCAGAUUUUUUUUUUAAAGAUUUUAUUUAUUCAUGAGAGCCACAGAGAGAGAGUGGCAGAGACACAGGCAGAGGGAGAAGCAGAUUCCUCAGAGGGAGCCUGGUGUGGGACUCGAUCUCAGAACUCCAGGAUCAUGCCCUGAGCCAAAGGCAGACGCUCAACCACUUAGCAACCCAGGUGCCCCUAUGGCUGACAUAUCUUAAAAUGAUACGCAGCAUAAAGAAAUCCUCCUGUGCAAAGUAUACAGCUGAGGUCACAUAGCAUUCACCAUUCAAGGACCACCCAAACUGCCCUAUACCCUAUUCAAUGAGAUGAGUUCACCAGUCUUGUCCUCGGGCUUUGAGGAAAUGUCAUAUUAUUACAUAUUCAUUUCUCGGAGCUUCCUCCUAUUCUUUUGGCCUACCUUGUCCUGGACUAGUAACAGUUUGCCAGCUGGCACCAGAUCACAGACCACACUUUGAAUAGUAUUAUCUUAGAAUUUAAGAUUGGCACUUGUCAAAAAUGCAAACCUCUUCUGGUGACUGAAUGCUUACGUGGCAAUAGAUGAUCAAGAUAUGCCAUUUCAUGCUCCAGUCUGGCUCAGCAUCAAUGACUGGGUAUGUCUUCUUUGAAAGCAACACUUGAUUCAUCUCACAGAUGAGGAAGCUGAGACUCAGAGAGUAGAAGUGACCUGGUGGGGAUGGAAGUGGAUCAGAAAAGAAGCAAGGGCCAGGUCUAGCUGCACCUCAUCUAGGAUCCAAACUGUAGCCAGCCAGUCCAGCCCAGCUCAUGACCUUCGAGCCUGAGUUUGAGACUUCCUGGGUCAGGGUGUCCUGGGCUGGGCUCAUGCUAUAUUCAGGGUUAUAUAUUUGUUAGAUGUCAGUCAAGAAAGCGUACAAUGUCCGAUGGGAUGUAAACAUCACACUGGAUUUUCAUAGCUCCUCAGACAACAGCCUCAUCCUGGGGAUUAGCAGCAAAGUGGAUGCCAUUGGAUUAGAGAUUAUAAUUGGCAAGGGAGAUCUUCUGCUAAAGGAAGACUGCUUGGAGCAACAAACCCACUUUUCAACUGAGAAUACAUUGGUACAACAGAGAAAUGUGUGCAGUCUGAACAGACGCAGAGCCCAGCCCCUUGUUGAUUGCCAAGUCGUCUGAUGUGGUGGCCUGGCUCUAAUGCUGGCCUUAGCCUCAGUCUCCUAUAUUUCCCUGUAUUGACCCCUUGGUCACAGUAGAACCUGCAUGUCUACUGAAGAGCUUUUUGAGGUGCACCCAAUUGUGAGAAGCUGCCUCUUUCACAAAUUGUAUUACUUCCUCCACAGCCCACAGUGGAAAUCCUUUGAGUACACUGAGCUAAGGUCCGAGUGUUGACCUGGGACCUCAGUUCUCUGUGUGUGGAUUUUCCUGACUUCCGAUAGUUGUCCUUGGAAGACUCCAAUGACAAUCAAUUCAGAACUGGUGAUGAGCUUGAUAUAGCUAACCCAGCCUGAAAAGAAUUCCUAUAGUAAAGUUUAUCUUGAGCAAGUGUUCUUCACUAAAGGAAGAUGGAUAGAGUCAUUUCCCCAAGAGGAGGCAGCGGCCACGUCUCCUUUGAGGAGGAAUCUAUGAUUGGUCCAGUUUGGAGGGCACCAUCCAGCAUGCUACCCCAGGAGCUGGCCAGCAAGUGUGGGCAUCUCCUGCUGCAGGGGAGCACUCAAGUUUCCCUGUUUCCAGAGUCACAGACGGCAGAUAUCCUUGUGGUGGUUGUCUGAGUAAUGCCAUCCUUGCCAAAUGGAAGGCCAGGGGCUCUGGGUAGCGACUUUACGCAAACUGAGAUGUAGGAGAACACAAAAUGGGAUGACUUUCUAAAAACCCUUUUUUCUUAAUUUUAGGCAUUUUUAAAAAGUAUGGAUGCUGAUUUGGGGGGGGGGGCAUUUUUAAAAACCAUCCUUCUCAGAGACUGACGUCUGUGUAGGUGGUUUAAACUAUCUUGCUUUCUUGACCCACUGUGCUGGUGGUUGGGAGCAGUUUUCUAUAUGGACUGCAUUGAACACCGAGUUACUUUGGAAGGAGCCUGUACUUCUGUUGCAGUUUUUGUAAUAGCAACAUUUCUUCAUGGUCUCAGACAUCUGUCUGGGAAUGUUACCCAACUAGGAAAAUACCUCGGAAUGGUACUGUAGCAAUAAUGAAAAACUUCUCUCUCUUUCUCAAAGGCAAUAUAAACUUCAUCAUCUCUAACACCUACAGGAGUUGCAGGGCAGAUGAGAUAGGAUUCUGUCUAGUGCUUCAAGUUUCAUUCCCACUUUAAAUUAUUUAGGGCUGGCUUUGGUAAUUCCUUCUUAGAGAAUGUCGAAGUUGUGAUUUCAGAUCCAUUUAGAAUUCAUAAAAGGAACAUUGGCUGAGAGGAUACAUUCAUCUGGAACUCCAGAGAAGACUAAAGUGGAGCCCUCUUUUUCCUGCACAUGUCCCAAUGUGCAGGUUGUGUGUCCAAGGAAUCUACAGCCCUCCUAAAGUCCUUUCCAUUGUCAUUCAUUACAGUCCAGUGCUAACAGUAAUCUGGUGCCUUACCCCGGUAAUUCCAGCAACUGUAGCAGUACAUGCUGAAGAAACAGAGUGAAGGUAACACACUCCACUUUCAAGCCAGUUUUGAAGUCGUUAGCCUGAGGAAUCUUGGACUGUCUGAAAUACUGGGAAGGAGCACGCAAAGAUCCAGCCUCUUUCAGAAAUUGUUCCAUUGGAAAUGAUGAUUUUUCACAUGAGAUAUUCUUGGUUGUCUUUCUUGACAGUGUAAUGAUUUUAAUGUUUUCCCUAUGAUAUGCCUUUCUGGUGUUUUCUCAGAUAAUGGCAUUGGGCAAAGUAUGGUUCUCUCCCAGGGUCCAGCUGGCAUGGGACUUCAGUGCACUGCCACCAGUUUUGGAGCCCAAGCACAGACCUAACUUUUUUUACACCUUUAUUGAGGUAUAAUUGACAUACAAUAAACUUCACAUAUUUAAAGUA